CAGCCGCCGCGGGAAUACGAAGGGUGCAAGCGUUAAUCGGAAUUACUGGGCGUAAAGCGUGCGUAGGCGGUUUGUUAAGUCUGUUGUGAAAUCCCCGGGCUCAACCUGGGAAUGGCAAUGGAUACUGGCAAGCUAGAGUGUGUCAGAGGAUGGUGGAAUUCCCGGUGUAGCAGUGAAAUGCGUAGAUAUGCGGAGGAACACCGAUGGCGAAGGCAGCCCCCUGGGCCAACACUGACGCUCAUGCACGAAAGCGUGGGGAGCAAACAGGAUUAGAUACCCCUGUAGUCCCUGUCUCUUAUAU
rnacentral:rRNA from 1 species